rnacentral:rRNA from 1 species
UACGUAGGUGACAAGCGUUGUCCGGAUUUACUGGGCGUAAAGAGCGCGCAGGCGGCCGAUCAAGUCGAGUGUGAAAGCCCCCGGCUCAACUGGGGAGGGUCAUUCGAUACUGAUCGACUCGAAGGCAGGAGAGGGUAGUGGAAUUCCCGGUGUAGUGGUGAAAUGCGUAGAUAUCGGGAGGAACACCAGUGGCGAAGGCGACUACCUGGACUGUUCUUGACGCUGAGGCGCGAAAGCUAGGGGAGCAAACGGG